rnacentral:rRNA from 1 species
AGGGCACCACCAGAUAUGGAGCCUGCGGCUUAAUUUGACUCAACACGGGAAAACUUACCCGGCCCGGACACUGGAAGGAUUGACAGAUUGAGAGCUCUUUCUUGAUUCAGUGGGUGGUGGUGCAUGGCCGUUCUUAGUUGGUGGAGCGAUUUGUCUGGUUAAUUCCGAUAACGAACGAGACUCUAGCCUAUUAAAUAGGCUGCCGGUCUUUUCUUGUCCGUAGGACUUCUUAUACUUCCGGGUGGGGGUUCAUGCGCAGAAAAGAGAGCAGUUUCUUAUCUGUGAUGGCCUUUGAUGUCCGGGGCCAAACGCACGCUAAACUGAACAGAUCUGCCUGUUUGAGUCUCCUGCUCCGGGCGGACUGCGCAACCCAGUGAAACCUCUUCUUGAUUGUUAUUGAACAUUGUAAUUUGUCUUCCCGAACGAACAACCUCCAGUAAAGGCGAGUCAUCUUGUCGUGUUGACUACGUCCCUGCCCUUUGCACACACCGCCCGUCGCUACUGUCGAUUGAAUUAUUU